rnacentral:rRNA from 1 species
AUUGAACGCUGGCGGCAGGCUUAACACAUGCAAGUCGAGCGGGGGAAGGUAGCUUGCUACCGGACCUAGCGGCGGACGGGUGAGUAAUGCUUAGGAAUCUGCCUAUUAGUGGGGGACAACAUCUCGAAAGGGAUGCUAAUACCGCAUACGUCCUACGGGAGAAAGCAGGGGAUCUUCGGACCUUGCGCUAAUAGAUGAGCCUAAGUCGGAUUAGCUAGUUGGUGGGGUAAAGGCCUACCAAGGCGACGAUCUGUAGCGGGUCUGAGAGGAUGGACCGCCACACUGGGACUGAGACACGGCCCAGACUCCUACGGGAGGCAGCAGUGGGGAAUAUUGGACAAUGGGGGGAACCCUGAUCCAGCCAUGCCGCGUGUGUGAAGAAGGCCUUAUGGUUGUAAAGCACUUUAAGCGAGGAGGAGGCUACUCUAGUUAAUACCUAGGGAUAGUGGACGUUACUCGCAGAAUAAGCACCGGCUAACUCUGUGCCAGCCGCCGCCGUAAAAC